rnacentral:rRNA from 1 species
CUCCUACGGGACGCAGCAGUGAGGAAUAUUGGUCAAUGGGCGGAAGCCUGAACCAGCCAAGUCGCGUGAGGGAAUAAGGCCCUACGGGUCGUAAACCUCUUUUGCCGGGGAGCAAGGGCCGGGACGCGUCCCGGCCCGGAGAGUACCCGGAGAAAAAGCAUCGGCUAACUCCGUGCCAGCAGCCGCGGUAAUACGGAGGAUGCGAGCGUUAUCCGGAUUUAUUGGGUUUAAAGGGUGCGUAGGCGGGCUGUUAAGUCAGCGGUCAAAUGUCGGGGCUCAACCCCGGCCUGCCGUUGAAACUGGCG